CCCGUGUCGGCAUCAUCAGGCUGAGCCGACCUCGAGGAGGCCCAGGGAGGGUUCAGAUUCGGGGGCGUGGGCUCGCACUGGCAAAUCACUCGGAGGGGCGUGGCUGAAGGGGGCGUGGUAACGUCCCUCGCACUGUUACAGCACCGCUGACGUCACAAUCACCACGUGCUUCCUCAGAGUAUGAGACGGGCUUGAAGGAGACGGCAGCUUCUUAAACUUCAGCUGCUUCAGCUUCAUCAUCGUCGCCUUUCGAACAACUUCUGCUGAAGCUCUCCGAGCGAAAUUAUUGACGAGAGUACGAGACGGGCAUGAAGGAGACGGCAGCUUCUUAAACUUCAGCUGCUUCAGCUUCAUCAUCGUCGCAUUUCGAACAACUUCUGCUGAAGCUAUCCGAGCGAAACUAUUGACGAGAGUACGAGACGGGCAUGAAGGAGACGGCAGCUUCUUAAACUUCAGCUGCUUCAGCUUCAUCAUCGUCGCAUUUCGAACAACUUCUGCUGAAGCUAUCCGAGCGAAACUAUUGACGAGGUGAGUUUUGUGGGUUCCUGGUGAGUGUGUGGGUCCAUGUUGUGGGUUCGUGGUAAGUGUGUGGGUGCUUGUUGUGGGAUUGUGGAGAGUGUGUCGGUCCGUGGUGAGGAUGUGGAUGCGUGGUGA